AGAUUGAACGCUGGCGGCAUGCCUUACACAUGCAAGUCGAACGGCAGCACGGGGGCAACCCUGGUGGCGAGUGGCGAACGGGUGAGUAAUGCAUCGGAACGUGCCCAGUAGUGGGGGAUAACUAGUCGAAAGAUUAGCUAAUACCGCAUACGACCUAUGGGUGAAAGCGGGGGAUUCGCAAGGACCUCGCGCUAGUCGGAGCCGGCCGAUGUCUGAUUAGCUAGUUGGACGGGUAAAACGCCCACGAAGGCUUCGAUCGAGUAGCUGGUCUGAGACGGACGACCAGCCACACGUGGGACCUGACGACGACGGCCAGACCUCCGUACGGGAGCACGCGAGGUGGGGUAAUUUUGGAAC
rnacentral:rRNA from 1 species